AGAGAAAAAGGUCAGGCCUGGGCAAGUGGACGACAUUGGGCCCCAUGUCUGCCUAUCGGGGACAGGUACAGGGUGAAAAGAGAUGAGAAGGCCUUGGCUACUGCCAAGUUUCCUGAAACCUGCAGGCUCCCAAGCUAGCCUUCUAGAACCUCCUUUCCCUCCAGGCAGCCUUUCUGGCUACACCAGGGUCCACUCUUGGGUAACACGCAACCUGACAGAUGCCAGGAGCUUGAGGAUUCAGUUCUUAUCUCUUAAGAAAGCAGGGACCACACCCCUCACCAACCUCUUUGUUACCCUACUUCCUCAUCUACCAAUCAGACUACAGAGGUGGCAUCCUGGAGUUCCAGAACCAGAGGCCACACUAAGACAGCUCUUCCAGUGGCUCCCAAUGAGGAAAAACAGAAGCAAAGAUGGGCUGGCAGGAUGCUCCACGCUGGACGGCUGCAGCCCUACCAUGUGGCCUUGUUGGUCACCUGACAGAUGGUGGUAAUAAUCCCAUCCCAACCAUGUUGAUUUGAGGAUGAAACAAGAUGGUGUGUGCCUAGCACAGACUCAGGCACCUGGGACUGCCUAAUGCAUGGUUUCCCGGUACGCAGCCUCCCGAGGUUGUGGUUCCAGCUGAUUCUGGGCUACCUGUUAGUAAGUAUUUGUUCCUGUGGCGGGCUAGGAUCCUGCCCACAGCUGCACCCACCUGCUCUUAGUACCCAGGAUAGAACCUCUCACCAACUCCACCAUCACUGUACCCAUUUUGCCAAUGAAGAAGAGGAGGAACCUGCUCAGAUAACAUCUGGCAGGGCACAGGACCCUCUGAGCUCACAAGCUACCUGCUCCCUGCUGCCCACUUUGUUCUUGGAGAUGUAUCUAUUCCCUGCAAAAGGGACCCAUGCUGACCUCAUCUUCAUGACAGAAGAGAAGGAAUGGAAAAUUAUUAAGCACCUGCUAUUUCCCAAGUACUAUGUGGGGCUCAGGGAGCCCAACACCCUCAUGCCAUAAGGCGGGGACAGUGCUUAUCUGAGGUCUCACAUUGAGAGUCUGGACGGCAGUCUAUGUGACUAAAUGCAAGGGCCUGCCCACCCAGUCCAGCCUACAGGAUAAACACAGUCUUUCCCUCAAGCCUACAAGGGGUCUGGCCCCUGGGAACCCCUAACAGCCCAGAGUCCAGCCUGCCAGCUCUGUGUAUCCCAGAAAUCUCUUUUCUCCUCUGCUCCCUAGUGAAGACUGGUGCAGCCAGCCACGAAGGGAGGAAAGAUCAUGGAUGCACACCUCACUGUGCCUUCCUCUCCUUCCUCCGUGAGAUUUCAAGUCCUCAGCCAGACCCCUGUGUCAUGGGUGGCACUCUCAGUGUGGCACAGCGCCAAGCUCUGAGGUUCUGAAUGCCUCUUUUUUU